rnacentral:rRNA from 1 species
CCUACGGGGGGCAGCAGUGGGGAAUAUUGCACAAUGGGGGAAACCCUGAUGCAGCGACGCCGCGUGAGUGAAGAAGUAUUUCGGUAUGUAAAGCUCUAUCAGCAGGGAAGAAAAUGACGGUACCUGACUAAGAAGCCCCGGCUAACUACGUGCCAGCAGCCGCGGUAAUACGUAGGGGGCAAGCGUUAUCCGGAUUUACUGGGUGUAAAGGGAGCGUAGACGGCCAGACAAGUCAGAAGUGAAAGCCCAGGGCUCAACCCUGGGACUGCUUUUGAAACUGCCGGGCUGGAGUGCAGGAGAGGUAAGCGGAAUUCCUAGUGUAGCGGUGAAAUGCGUAGAUAUUAGGAGGAACACCAGUGGCGAAGGCGGCUUACUGGACUGUAACUGACGUUGAGGCUCGAAAGCGUGGGGAGCAAACAGGAUUAGAUACCCGGGUAGUCAC